rnacentral:rRNA from 1 species
GACGUAGGGCGCGAGCGUUGUCCGGAUUUAUUGGGCGUAAAGAGCUCGUAGGCGGCUUGUCGCGUCGUCUGUGAAAUCCCGCGGCUCAACUGCGGGCUGGCAGUCGAUACGGGCAGGCUGGAGUUCGGUAGGGGAGACUGGAAUUCCUGGUGUAGCGGUGAAAUGCGCAGAUAUCAGGAGGAACACCGGUGGCGAAGGCGGGUCUCUGGGCCGAUACUGACGCUGAGGAGCGAAAGCGUGGGGAGCGAACAGG